rnacentral:rRNA from 1 species
UACGUAAGGACCGAGCGUUGUCCGGAAUCAUUGGGCGUAAAGGGUACGUAGGCGGGUCACUAAGUUAGAAGUCAAAGGCUAUAGCUCAACUAUAGUAAGCUUCUAAAACUGGAGACCUUGAGUAAUGGAAGGGAAAGUGGAAUUCCUAGUGUAGCGGUGGAAUGCGCAGAUAUUAGGAGGAAUACCGGUGGCGAAGGCGACUUUCUGGCCAUUAACUGACGCUGAGGUACGAAAGCGUGGGUAGCAAACAGG